rnacentral:misc_RNA from 1 species
GAAAUGCGAUAAGUAGUGUGAAUUGCAGAAUUCAGUGAAUCAUCGAAUCUUUGAACGCACAUUGCGCCCCUUGGUAUUCCAUGGGGCAUGCCUGUUCGAGCGUCAUAUAUACCUUCAAGCUCUGCUUGGUGUUGGGCGUUGUCACGCGACUCGCCUCAAAUCAAAUUUACUGGCAGUGGCAUAUGGUGCAGCACAUGUACCUGCCCCGUCCGCUAAACCUUAAUUUGACCUCGGAUCAGGUAGGGAUACCCGCUGAACUUAA